UCCACUUCCUUACUGACAUCAUGUGACCUUUCAGGCCAUCACAAGUGGAACAUCCCCCUCACCAGGGAGGCAGCAACCGUCCCCUCUUAUCCUGCUUGGUCCUCUCCCCAGCUGCUUCAGUCGGGGUGACGAACAAGCUUUAUUGAAGUAAUUAAGUAAUUACCUCCUCUCCUGGGGGUUACGUCCAACUUUUCAGUAUUAUCAACAAGGCAACAACAAGAAGAUCUUUUUUCUCAUGCUGUUGAGUCAGUUCCUUAAGACACAUUUCCAGAAGUGGGAUAACUCAUCACUGGACCGGGGAGUCGGGGAGGAACAAAAGAAAAACUGCAGACCGGGCUCCCAGAUCACCCAGCAAGGGAGCCAGAAGGCAGUGCACGUCGGUGAGAGAAAGCGACUGCUGAAGGAGAGCCACUUCUGCUGCCCCGAAACAGAAAAAUUCAGAUCCAUCUUUCACAGGAUGAUAAGAAGAAAAAAAAGAACAAAAAUAUACCAAGAAAAAAAGCUACCAGCAAGACGAGAGAAACCCAGUUUCCAGCAGGAAAAGUUUUUUAAAAACGCCCAGUCCUGGGAGUAUGGGGACCAGGAAAAGCAGAGGUCCUGGGCACACAGGAUCUGAGCCGUCCGUGAGUCACACACGGUGCCACUCAGUGUGCGCCCGUCAGCUCUGGGGACCCGCGGGGCCCGCGCGUUCAGUCGACUGGUUUCCUACCUACAGCAAGUCUCUGCAAGGCCCUGGCAAGAUCCGACCACCACCCAGCCUGUCUGGGUUUGCCUGGGACAUGCCUGACUCCAGCACUGAAAGUCUCACAUCCCGGAAAAACUGGGACAGUUUGGUCACCCUACGCUUUCCAGGAGAGGAAAUCUGAUCAGAGAGGUGAAGUGGUCAGACCCAGGCCCAACUGCCAAGACAGCGUUCAAAGAAUCCACAGCAGCACAGAAAGAUCAAGGGCAGCCAGAUCAGAGCAACUCUGAGGCUCCACAACACGCUCUUUUGAUCGAGAGUGGUUAAGGCUCAACGCUGGCUCAGGGCUGGUGAGGCGGGCAGACCCGGCUGCCACCCGAGUCGGCGUCUAGAGGACGGUCUCCUUGGGAAGCAAUUUGGCAACUUGCAGUUUGUGCCGUGAAACUGUUCCUAGCCUUUGACUGAAUGAUACUAUGCUGGGAAAUCCAUUCUAAGGAAAUUAUCCCUCUUUUUAUUAUUAUUAAAAAGCUACUGGAAAGAAAAUGUUCUCUGCAAUAUUAUCUAGAAGAGAAAAUAAACCUGAACAGUUCAUAGAGGGUAAUGGCUUC
ensembl:lncRNA